rnacentral:rRNA from 1 species
UGCCAGCCGCCGCGGUAAUACGGAGGGUGCGAGCGUUAAUCGGAAUUACUGGGCGUAAAGCGCACGCAGGCGGUUUGUUAAGCUAGAUGUGAAAGCCCCGGGCUCAACCUGGGAUGGUCAUUUAGAACUGGCAGACUAGAGUUUUGGAGAGGGGAGUGGAAUUCCAGGUGUAGCGGUGAAGUGCGUAGAUAUCUGGAGGAACAUCAGACGCGAAGGCAUUCUGCUGGUCAUUACCUGACGCUGAGGGACGAAAGCGUGGGGAGCGAACGGGAUUAGAUA